UCUAAUGAUAUACACAACAAGAAACCCUCGAUUCUUUCAUUUGCUUUCAGGAUUUUAUGCUCUCGACACUUUUAAGGACUAAUCUUUGAUUCUCUUCAUCAUCUCAGCGAAGUCUUUCAAUUUUGGGCAAGCUUUGCUCCCAAUUUUUGCUUUAAUCUUCUUCCAAUUCUUUUCAAAAUUUUCAAUUUCAUGGCUGAAAUUCAUAGUUAUUUUUCUACUGUGUUCUUGUUUAUCUACUCAUCUCAUUCCUUUUGUUUCUCUCUUUCAUUCUUAAAAUGUUCCUUUUGCAUGAUCUCUUUAUUUUUCUUCAGAUUUUCAAAGAUUAUUUUUUUCAAUUCUUUAUAUCUUCUCAGCUAGAUUUUUCGAAUUUCAGGUAUGAUUUUUCUCAACUUUUGCCUCAAUUUCUUCCAAUUUCUCUUUAGACUUCAGAAUUUUCAUUCCUGGAAUUCGUGGCUGAUGUUUGUAAUAGUGAAAGGGGUAGAGCUUCGGAAGGAAAAAAUGUACAUAUAGAGUGAGAAUUUCACAUAUACCUAUCGUUUCCUUGAAGUUGAUUUACAAGGCAUGUAUCGAGUUUUUACGACCAGUAUGAAUGGCUCCUUUACUUUUUAUUAUUUUGAGCUAUCGGGAAGUUACUUUUACGCAAAUAAUUGUAGAAAAAAAGAAUCUAUCUGAUAAUCCUUUGUGA